ACUGAAUAGAUACCCGGGUAGUCCAUGCCGUAAACUAUGGAUACUAGCUGUUGGGGGUAUCGACCCCUCCAGUAGCGAAAGCUAAACGCGUUAAGUAUCCCGCCUGUGGAGUACGAUCGCAAGAUUAAAACAUAAAGGAAUUGACGGGGACCCGCACAAGCGGUGGAGCGUGUUCUUUAAAUUCGAUGCUAAACGAAGAACCUUACCAGGGCUUGACAUCCCUUGAAUUACUCCGAAAGGAGUGAGUGCUUUAUUGAGCAAGGUGACAGGUGAUGCAUGGCCGUCGUCAGCUCGUGUCGUGAGAUGUUUGGUUAAGUCCAUCAACGAGCGCAACCCUUAUACUUAGUUGUAUUUUUCUAGGUAGACUGCCCCGGUAACGGGGAGGAA
rnacentral:rRNA from 1 species